rnacentral:rRNA from 1 species
CCUACGGGAGGCAGCAGUGAGGAAUAUUGGUCAAUGGACGAGAGUCUGAACCAGCCAAGUAACGUGAAGGAUGACUGCCCUAUGGGUUGUAAACUUCUUUUAUAAAGGAAUAAAACGAGGCACGUGUGCCUUUUUGCAUGUACUUUAUGAAUAAGGAUCGGCUAACUCCGUGCCAGCAGCCGCGGUAAUACGGAGGAUCCGAGCGUUAUCCGGAUUUAUUGGGUUUAAAGGGAGCGUAGAUGGGUUGUUAAGUCAGUUGUGAAAGUUUGCGGCUCAACCGUAAAAUUGCAAUUGAUACUGGCAGUCGUGAGUACAGUUGAGGUAGGCGGAAUUCGUGGUGUAGCGGUGAAAUGCUUAGAUAUCACGAAGAACCCCGAUUGCGAAGGCAGCUUACUAAACUGUGACUGACAUUGAUGCUCGAAAGUGUGGGUAUCAAACAGGAUUAGAUACCCGGGUAGUC